rnacentral:lncRNA from 1 species
UACUCGUUCUAGGCUCUUGGUAUCAUGUCGUCGGCCGCCGACACAACCACCUCAAGACAAGAACUCACACAACUCGAAUCCAUCUCUAAUCACAACUAGAGACCUAUACCAGCUUCGACCCAAUCGAAUUAUCUUCCGCCAUCGCUAUAGGUUCACGUUCCGCUCACGCACCUAUAACCUUAAGGCUUGCCAACCUAGGGUCUCCUAGGUCAUCCUAAACUCUCUUUACUUGCUCUUAAAUCUCUGAUACCACAAAAGACUGUCACGCCCCGCCCCGAAACCACUACCAAUUUGGCACGACUCGGCCGCGGCGACGGACCGCUGAACGGACAGCACCUCCCUUGUCCGCCCAAGGCUCAACGACAGGAAUGUGACAAGAAU